UACCCGGUGGUGUAACGGCAGCACAGGAGGUUUUGGUCCUCCUAGUUCAGGUUCGAAUCCUGACCGGGUAACCA
rnacentral:tRNA from 1 species